UGACUGAUGCACAUCAGUGCGUGCGAGCUGGCAAAGUGGGACCGCAGAGCCAGGAAAGCUUCAGGAGAUGUGCUCAUCUUCACAAAGGCUCUCCUGGGGAGAACAGAAGUCACUUGUUGCAUGCAGAUAAGGCUUCUGUUUCCCAACAAGCAGUCAUUAAAGGCACACUCACCGCAGCAGAUCUUCUGGAACACUGUUCUCCCUGCUCUUGAAGGCAGUAACUGUUUCUGUGCGGCUUGCAUUUCUGCAAAUUGACCAAAGAAUGUCAGCCACUGAAAUAACAGCCAGGCAGGUGCUCUGGCUCUCAGCCAGCCUACCUGAGAGGAUCAUCAGGAAUAAGAUAUCCAGAAAAGACAGCUGAAGAAGAACAUCUGCUUCCAGACACUGUCCUAAGGAGGAAACAAGAUGCCACAAGAUGGUCAGUAUCACGAUGAACCCUUUAGCAGGAAUCCCUUUAGAAGAGACAGCAAAGCCAAACAUCA